rnacentral:rRNA from 1 species
AUUGAACGCUGGCGGCAUGCCUUACACAUGCAAGUCGAACGGUAACAGGUUAAGCUGACGAGUGGCGAACGGGUGAGUAAUGUAUCGGAACGUGCCCAGUCGUGGGGGAUAACUGCUCGAAAGAGCAGCUAAUACCGCAUACGACCUGAGGGUGAAAGCGGGGGCUCGCAAGACCUCGCGCGAUUGGAGCGGCCGAUAUCAGAUUAGGUAGUUGGUGAGGUAAAGGCUCACCAAGCCGACGAUCUGUAGCUGGUCUGAGAGGACGACCAGCCACACUGGGACUGAGACACGGCCCAGACUCCUACGGGAGGCAGCAGUGGGGAAUUUUGGACAAUGGGCGCAAGCCUGAGCCAGCCAUGCCGCGUGCGGGAAGAAGGCCUUCGGGUUGUAAACCGCUUUUGUCAGGGAAGAAAAGGUUCUGGCUAAUACCUGGGACUCAUGACGGUACCUGAAGAAUAAGCACCGGCUAACUACGUG